ACUCAAAGGAAUUGACGGGGGCCCGCACAAGCGGCGGAGCAUGUGGCUUAAUUCGAUGCAACGCGAAGAACCUUACCUGGGUUGAACUAUGCAGGAAAAGCAGUAGAGAUACUGUGUCCUUCGGGGCCUGCGAUAGGUGGUGCAUGGCUGUCGUCAGCUCGUGUCGUGAGAUGUUGGGUUAAGUCCCGCAACGAGCGCAACCCUUGUCCUAUGUUGCCAGCGGAUAAUGCCGGGGACUCAUGGGAAACUGCCGGUGCUAAACCGGAGGAAGGUGGGGAUGACGUCAAGUCAUCAUGCCCCUUACGUCCAGGGCUGCACACAUGCUACAAUGGCCGGUACAAAGGGCUGCGAACUCGCGAGAGUAAGCCAAUCCCAAAAAGCCGGUCUCAGUUCGGAUUGCAGUCUGCAACUCGACUGCAUGAAGCCGGAGUCGCUAGUAAUCGCAGAUCAGCAUUGCUGCGGUGAAUACGUUCCCGGGCCUUGUACACACCGCCCGU
rnacentral:rRNA from 1 species